rnacentral:rRNA from 1 species
GACGUAGGGUGCAAGCGUUGUCCGGAAUUAUUGGGCGUAAAGAGUUCGUAGGCGGUUAUUUAAGUCUGGUGUUAAAGACGGGAGCUCAACUCCCGCAUGGCAUUGGAAACUGGAUAGCUAGAGUACGGUAGAGGUCUCGGGAAUUCCAGGUGUAGCGGUGAAAUGCGUAGAUAUCUGGAGGAACACCGGUGGCGAAAGCGCGAGACUGGGCCGUAACUGACGCUGAGGAACGAAAGCGUGGGUAGCAAACAGG